AUUGAACGCUGGCGGCAGGCCUAACACAUGCCAGUCGAGCGGAUGAAGGGAGCUUGCUCCCGGAUUCAGCGGCGGACGGGUGAGUAAUGCCUAGGAAUCUGCCUGGUAGUGGGGGAUAACGUCCGGAAACGGGCGCUAAUACCGCAUACGUCCUGAGGGAGAAAGUGGGGGAUCUUCGGACCUCACGCUAUCAGAUGAGCCUAGGUCGGAUUAGCUAGUUGGUGGGGUAAAGGCCUACCAAGGCGACGAUCCGUAACUGGUCUGAGAGGAUGAUCAGUCACACUGGAACUGAGACACGGUCCAGACUCCUACGGGAGGCAGCAGUGGGGAAUAUUGGACAAUGGGCGAAAGCCUGAUCCAGCCAUGCCGCGUGUGUGAAGAAGGUCUUCUGAUUGUAAAGCACUUUAAGUUGGGAGGAAGGGCAGUAAGUUAAUACCUUGCUGUUUUGACGUUACCAACAGAAUAAGCACCGGCUAACUUCGUG
rnacentral:rRNA from 1 species